AUUGAACGCUGGCGGCAGGCCUAACACAUGCAAGUCGAACGAGUGGCGGACGGGUGAGUAAUGUCUGGGAAACUGCCUGAUGGAGGGGGAUAACUCCUGGAAACGGUAGCUAAUACCGCAUACCAUCAGAUGUGGCCAGCUGGGAUUAGCUUGUUGGUGGGGUAACGGCUGACCAAGGCGACGAUCCCUAGCUGGUCUGAGAGGAUGAACAGCCAAACUGGAACUGAGACACGGUCCAGACUCCUACGUGAGGCAGCAGUGGGGAAUAUUGCAGAAUGGGCGCAAGCCGGAUUCAGCCAUGCCGCGUGUAUGAAGAAGGCCGUCGGGUUGUAAAGUACUUUCAGCGGGGAGGCGUUACCCGCAGAAGAAGCACCGGCUAACUCCGUGCCAGCAGCCGCGGUAAUUC
rnacentral:rRNA from 1 species